rnacentral:rRNA from 1 species
CAUGGAGGGUGAGAAUCCCGUCUUUGGCAUGGACACCUGGUGCUUCUGUGAUGCGCUCUCGAAGAGUCGAGUUGUUUGGGAAUGCAGCUCAAAAUGGGUGGUGAACUCCAUCUAAAGCUAAAUAUUGGCGAGAGACCGAUAGCGAACAAGUACCGUGAGGGAAAGAUGAAAAGCACUUUGGAAAGAGAGUGAAACAGUACGUGAAAUUGUUGAAAGGGAAACGAUUGAAGCCAGUCGUGCCGGCGGGUAAUCAGCCUUUCGGUGUGAUUGUGGAGCGUGAAGAGCUAAACACCUUCAUGCCUGCGUAUUCGUGCUCUUUGGGUGUACUUGCCCGCAGGUAGGUUAACAUCAAUUUCGGACGCCAUAAAAUGGUCGGGGGAAUGUGGCUUCGGUCUCGUAUUGAAGUGUUAUAGCCUUCGGCAGAUGUGGUGAUCGGGAUUGAGGAUUGCAACGGAUACCCCUCGGGGCUACCCGUCUGAUCUCUGAAAGUUGCUCUGGUGCUGGAAGCUUGCUUACGGACAUCAAAGUUGACGGUCAACAGGUUAGAGCGGGUUAAAUUCGUUAAGGAUGUUGACGUAAUGG